rnacentral:rRNA from 1 species
UACGUAGGGUGCGAGCGUUGUCCGGAAUUAUUGGGCGUAAAGAGCUUGUAGGCGGUCUGUCGCGUCUGCUGUGAAAAUCCGGGGCUCAACCUCGGACUUGUAGUGGGUACGGGCAGACUAGAGUGUGGUAGGGGAGACUGGAAUUCCUGGUGUAGCGGUGAAAUGCGCAGAUAUCAGGAGGAACACCGAUGGCGAAGGCAGGUCUCUGGGCCACUACUGACGCUGAGAAGCGAAAGCGUGGGGAGCGAACAGG